AAAAAACCCCCAAAACAUUGUGUACAACCCUCGACAAGCGUUUGGAAGACAGGCGUCCUGUGUCAACAGAAAAAAACACUUUACUAUUUCUUCUUUUUCGGGGCUUUAUUACUGCAGGAUUCUGUCCGACUGGAUAGACGCUAACAGCUGGAAUAUAUAGAAAGAUAUCCUGAAAACGCGAUGGUAAUAGUGCACUUUUUGCCAGGUGACUUGAUUCCGGAAAAAGACAUUCCAUUAUAUCCUGUUUUGGGAAGCAUCCCACCAGAACUGGUGUGUCUAGUUUGCCUUAGUAAGAUGAGAAAUGUUGUUUUCUUGGGAUGUGGUCAUUUGCUUGUCUGUACAAACUGUACAAUAUUUUUUCGUACAUGUCCAUUGAAUGACUGUGGUCAAAAAGUAAAAGCUUGUUCUCCUGUGAAGUAUUAUUAAACGAAAGAGAACAGUGGCAUAUCACCCGGGGAGGCUCGACUUUGAAACAGCUUUCAACCAAACACAUCUCUGUGAUAUAUGCUGUAUUUUGUUGGGGUUGAGCUGGAUUGAGUUCCUGACGGAUAGUAUCUAAAAUUGACAUAUCACUAUUUGCUUUUCGUCUUCGUCUUGUUGUGUGCAUCGCCUCCAGAAUCUAUCAGUGCAUUUGAAGCAACACCAAAGAGACAGAUAAGAACACGCAAUAAAAUUGUUUUCAUAAAUUUUAAUUGUGUCCUGGCUGAAAUUGUAACAAAGCUGAUUGUUACUUUUAUAUACAAAGUUUAAGAAUAUUAGCAAACUGGAUACAAUGUAAUUAUGUAAAAGAUUUUUCAAAUGAUCUACGUAAAUGUUAGAGAACUUUUGACAGGUCAUAGAAAUGACUACUUACACUUUGUUUAGUACAUGUAACAGCUAUUUUAGGUAGUAUAUUGUUUUGUUUUUUAUUUAGAUUUUUACUUUUAAUGAAGACUAUAAAACUAUCAUUUACUGUUGUCACGUCACUGAUUAUGUGAUAUACAAGAAAGCAAAUAAGGCACUUUCAAAAACAAUUAUUAAAUCAAACAAAUAAAGUAAAUUAAAUAAAACAUUAUUGAUUUUCGUUGGUAUUAAUAUUUAUGAAGACAUAAUAGAAUCUAUGAUUGUAAAAAAUUAUGUAUAAACUCAUAUCUAAAGUAUCAUUGCUGCGUUUAUGCUAUAGACUAGUUUCAAUAAAUACAUAUGUGGGCAUUUUAUUUAAGAAUUUCAUUUAAGUUGCUGUGUUUUUCUUGGUAUGAGUAACAAAAGAAGCUUUUUUGACAAACAACAUGAUUGAUAAUUUGCUGUUGGUAAUUUUGUGUUACUCUUUAUCUCUUCUGUUUUGAUCUCCCUGUACUUUCAAUUCUAUCAGCUUUAUGUUAGUGUACUACGUACUCGCUGCUUAUAAUAAAUUAAAAUUUUUCUAAAUGACUGUGAUUUUGUUAGUUUCUGUUGUGUACAUGAAGCUUUGAAGAAGUGUACCAUGCAUACUUAUUUUAAAGAAAAAACACAAGCUGCUAUUUUGAAACUAA